AUGUGUGACAGACCAAGAAGGCUCCUAGCCAUUGUUGUUGUAACCUCUCUUCUCAGCUUCGCUGUCGCUGCUUCUUCUUCAUCCAACGCCACCGACUUCGAAACCCUCCUUUGCUUGAAGCUCCACCUCUCCGGCAGCCCCAACUCCCUCCUUGGCUCAUGGGUGCAGAACAACUCCCUCCAUUUCUGCAGCUGGCCCGGCGUUGCUUGCAACGCAUCUCGUGUCAUUGCGCUGAACCUCGAGAACUCCGGCCUCGAUGGCCAGAUGCCACCUUGCAUUGCCAACCUCACCCUCCUCUCAAGAAUCCACUUCCCGGGAAAUCUGCUGAGCAGCCACAUACCAGCGCAACUCGGGCAGCUGAGAAGGUUGACCUACCUUAACCUCAGCUCCAACAGCCUUACUGGUUCCAUCCCCAACACUCUGUCCUCCACAUCCCUCCAGGUGAUUGAUCUUGGUAACAACAAGUUCAGCGGAGAUAUCCCUGAAAGCAUCGGAAAGCUCCGCAAUCUCUCGUUUUUACGCCUUGCUCGCAACAGCCUGACGGGCAGCAUCCCGCUUUGGCUUGGAAGCAGCAGCUCUAACUCCCUUGUUUCUGUCAUCCUCGCAAACAAUUCCCUCACAGGACCCAUUCCGUCGGCCCUUGCUCACAGUUCAUCUCUUCAGGUGUUGAACUUGGUAAGAAACAACCUCGAUGGAGAGAUACCUCCUGCUCUUUUCAACAGCACAUCGCUUCAAAGAUUAGCCCUUGGAUGGAACAAUUUUUCUGGGUCAAUACCUGCGGUCGUUCCAAAUUUCAAUUCACCCUUGCAAGCUCUUAUAUUGUCGGUGAAUACUCUCGCAGGCACCAUACCGUCGACUCUGGGUAAUUUUUCUUCCCUUCGGAUCCUUCUGCUUGCGGCCAACAGUUUCAAAGGCAGUAUCCCAGUGAGUAUAGCAAAAAUCCCAAACUUGCAAGAACUAGAUGUUUCUUACAACAUUCUGUCAGGGACUAUCCCGUUCUCCAUAUUCAACAUGUCUUCACUCACCUACCUUAGUUUAGCUGUUAACAAUUUUGUUGGGGAACUUCCAUUUGACAUCGGAUAUACACUUCCAAGCAUCCAAACAUUCAUAUUGCAACAAAAUAAGGUUGGAGGAAAAAUCCCUGCAUCGCUAGCCAACGCAACCAAUUUCCUGUCCAUUAACCUAGGGGCUAAUGCAUUCUAUGGCAUUAUCUCUUCUUUUGGGUCUCUUUCUAACCUAGAAGAGCUAAUUCUGGCAAGUAAUCAGCUAGAAGCUGGAGACUGGUCAUUCCUCUCCUCGUUGGCGAAUUGCACGCAGCUGCAGGUCUUGUCUUUGGGAACCAACAUGAUGCAAGGAAAUCUGCCGAGUUCAGUUGGUAGUCUUGCAACUAGCCUAGGGGCUUUGGUUCUGCACGCAAAUAAGAUGUCUGGCAGCAUCCCACCAGAGCUAGGGAACCUCACAAACCUCUCAUUUCUUAGAAUGGAGCAGAAUCAGUUUGCUGGCGAUCUCCCCAGCACAAUCGGAAACCUUGCAAGCUUGACAUACGUGGACUUGUCACGGAACAGACUUUCCGGACAGAUUCCAAGUUCGAUAGGGAAACUCCGUCAAAUGAACAACCUCUUCUUGCAAGAAAAUAAUUUCAGUGGACCCAUUCCUAGGACACUAGGUGAUUGCCGAAGGUUGAUCACUCUCAACCUUUCAUGUAACUCCUUGAGCGAGAGCAUACCAAGAGAACUCUUCUUUCUUGACUCCUUAUCAGCAGGUUUGGAUUUGUCCCACAACCAGCUUUCUGGACAGAUUCCACCUGAGAUUGGUGGCUUGAUUAAUAUAGGGCCACUAAAUUUUUCCAACAACCGUCUUUCCGGGCUCAUUCCAACUGCUCUAGGUGCUUGUAUUCGCCUGGAGUCCCUUCACUUAGAGGGCAACCUACUUGAUGGCAGAAUUCCUCAGUCUCUCUCCAAUUUGAGAGGUAUUGCCGAGAUUGAUCUCUCACGAAACAACUUGAGCGGUGAAAUCCCAAACUUUUUCCAGUCAUUCAAUUCUCUGAAGCUUCUCAACUUGUCCUUCAACGACCUCGAGGGUCAAAUGCCACAAGGGGGGAUAUUUCAAAAUUCUAGUGAGGUGUCUGUCCAAGGGAACAGUAUGUUAUGUUCUAGUUCCCCAAUGCUACAACUGCCGCUUUGCUUUGCAUCAUCAAGAAACUGGCACACUUGGCGCACUCUAAAGAUAACUGGGAUCAGUGUGGCGGCUCUUGCUUUGGUCUGUUUGUUAUGUGUAGUAUUUAUUCUCUUGAAGAGGAGGAGCAAGAGAUCUAAACAGUCAGAUCAACCAUCAUACACUGAGAUGAAGAGCUUCUCAUAUGCUGAUCUAGCCAAAGCGACAAAUGGUUUCUCUCCAGACAAUUUGGUUGGCUCAGGGGCUUACGGAUCAGUAUACAAGGGUGUACUUGAAUCUGAAACAAAUGGAAUGAUUGCUGUCAAAGUUUUCAAGCUUGACCAACUUGGAGCACCAAAAAGCUUUGUUGCCGAGUGCGAGGCAUUCAGAAACACUCGUCAUCAUAAUCUUGUAAGGGUGAUUUCUGCAUGCUCAACAUGGGACAACAAAGGGAAUGAUUUCAAGGCUCUUAUUAUUGAAUACAUGGCUAAUGGCACCCUAGAGAGCUGGAUUUAUUCAGAAACAAGAAGACCGUUGAGUUUGGGCUCCAGAGUAACAAUAGCAGGGGACAUAGCUGCUGCAUUGGAUUAUUUACAUAAUAGCUGUGUGCCCCCUAUAGUCCAUUGUGAUUUGAAGCCUAGCAAUGUGCUACUAGAUGAUGCCAUGGGUGCCCAUCUCAGUGACUUUGGGUUAGCUAAGUUCCUCCAAAGUCAUGACUCUUCAAGUACUAUUACUUCUACGAGCUUAGCAGGGCCGAGAGGAUCAAUUGGAUACAUUGCACCAGAGUAUGGCAUCGGGAACAAGAUCUCAACGGCAGGCGAUGUCUAUAGCUAUGGAAUUAUCAUCCUAGAAAUGCUCACGGGGAAACGCCCAACAGAUGUGUUGUUCAAGAAUGGCCUGAGCCUUCAGAAAUUCGUGGGAAAUGCAUUCCCCGAAAAGAUCCGUGAUAUACUUGAUCCUAAUAUCAUCACCCCGAGUUUCGAAGAUGAAGGCGUGGACCAUGGAAACCAUGCUAUGGUGGGGAUGCUGAGCUGCAUUAUGCAGCUUGUUCAGCUUGGUCUCUCAUGUUCCACGGAGACACCAAAAGAUCGACCGACAAUGCCGGAUGUCUACGCAGAAGUCUCUGCAAUCAAACGAGAAUAUUCAGCACUGCGCAUCAAGGAAUAG
rnacentral:rRNA from 1 species